UUUUCAAAGUGAUAUGUACAUGUUAAGAAUGGGAAAUAGGCAGUACUACUAAAGAGAAGAGGGUUUUGGGAGAAGAGAAGCAUCUCCCAAAUUUUUAGGACUUUUCAGCAUACUCGCUUCAUUUCCUUUGCUCUCUCGUUUGCAGAGUUCUGGAAUGGGCGGAGGAAGAUGGCUGGCGUGCUACCCAAAAUUACUUGUGCAGAAAUUUCUGACAAUUCCGGUGCAGUCAUCGAAUGGAGUUUUAUGGGGGAAACUUUCUCAGUUUCACCGAGCAUUGAUCCAUUCUCCAACGGCCUCGCGUUGCUACAGUUAUAUGGGAAAACGCGCUGAUUUUGCUCCUCAUGAGCUGCUAUGGUCGAAGCGUUUUCUACACGCCACAGCACCAUAUUGUUCAAUGGAGCGUGAUUAUUACGAGAUUCUUGGCAUUUCUAAGGAUGCCAGUCGGGAUGAGAUUAAGAAGGCUUUUCAUGCUCUUGCUAAGAAGUACCAUCCUGAUUCCAAUAAGAACAAUCCUUCUGCAAAGAGAAAAUUUCAAGAGAUAAGGGAUGCUUAUGAGACUUUGCAAGAUCCUGAAAAGAAAUCCCAAUAUGAUAGGAUGAGAAUGAGUUCAGGCAGGGCUGAGAAUGCAGAAUAUCCUAGUAGGGAGUGGGAUCAAUUUAGAGAUGCUCAUAGAGCUAAGUUCUCUGAUUCAUUCCACAAAAUUUUUUCCGAGAUUUUUGAAAAUGAAAGUGAAAAUCUGGCUGCUGAUAUUCAGGUGGAACUUUCACUUACAUUUUCUGAAGCUGCUAAAGGAUGCACAAAACAGUUGUCUUUUGAAGCAGAUGUGCCAUGUGAUUCAUGCGAUGGCCGUGGCCACCGAUUAGAUGCUGCAACAAAAAUAUGUCCGACUUGCCAAGGCAUUGGAAGAGUAACAAUACCACCAUUUAUCACAACAUGCAGUACCUGUAAAGGAUUUGGACGAAUCAUUAAGGAAUACUGCGUGGCAUGCAAAGGAUCAGGGGUGUGUGAAGGAGUCAGGGAUGUUAAAGUAACUAUACCAGCAGGUGUGGACUCUGGGGAUACCAUCCGUGUGCCUGAAGCUGGUAAUGCUGGUAGAUGGGGAAGGUCUCCAGGCAACCUUUUUAUAAAACUAAAGGUUGCAGAAGAUCCUAUAUUUUCUAGACGAGGUGCUGAUAUUUAUGUGGAUUCUCAUAUUAGCUUCACACAAGCCAUUCUUGGUGGUAAUAUUGAGGUACCUACACUUGCUGGGAAGAUACAACUGCAAAUACCUAAGGGGGUUCAACAUGGGAAACUAGUUUUGCUUAGAGGCAAAGGAUUGCCAAAAAAUGGUUUUCUGGUGGACCAUGCAGAUCAGUAUGUGCGCUUCUGCAUAAAUUUUCCUUCUUCCUCAGAAUAUUUACCAUUUGUUCUGCAAAAGAAAUGGCGACCCCUGUUUAGCUUUAUUUGUGUUUGUGCCGUCUUCACUUCAGAACGGUUACCGAAAGGCAACGUGCUAUACUAGAAGAAUUUGAGGAGGAAAUAAUGGAAGAGAAUAGCACAUCUGCAGAAGACAAUUGCUGAACUUCUCAAGCCAAGCUCUUGAGGUUGCUUCAGCUUCUGAUUCAGGCAGGGAACAUUCUUUAUAUCCAUUAUGUUUGGUUCCCACUUGUAGCUAGAGAUGAUAUAACUCUACUGGAAAUCAACUAAGCAACUGCAAUGAAUGUCUCGUCAUAAUUUAUGCGAAAUCUCAGUAACUCCCUAGAUGACCAAUAUGGCUUUGUGUCUCUCUUAUUUCCACCCAACAAUCUUCAGUUUCUUUGGAAUUUUAACAAUUUUCUUUGUAUCAUUCCUGUUGGCACCUUCAUCUCUUCUAAGGGAGCUGUGAUUUGUUAUUACUAGUUUUAGGAUCUUAAGAAGUUCUGUUUGUACUUGUUUUUGGACUGUUCAACUUCUCCUGCUCCCUCACCCACAAUAACUGCUGAUGAAGCAGUUUUAGGCAUAGAGCUUGCUGUGCACGCCUUUAAUACAUUUCACUCUUCUUCUGAUUCUUUCUAUCCAGAUUGUUUAGUUGGAUGCUACAAAGAGGGUGUUUGGGUGAACUUAUUUGAAACUCUUAGAAGCUCAUACAUAUUAUAAAUUAUUGUUAGAUGUUAUUUUAACUUCCAAAAUAUUUGGCUAAAUAAGAUUGUGGAGCUUAUAAGAUGUUAGCAACGACAAUUUUGUAAUUAAUAUGAUCAAAAUUGAAGGAGCUUGUUAAAAUCUUAAAAUUAAGUUAUGAACUUUUUAUUAUUUUUUUUAAAGGUGUUUAUAAGCUCUUAAAAUCCAUUUCUUGGAUUUCAUUUUCUAAAAAUUUUACCAUACUUUUCAAUAUCUUAUAAGCUCACCAAACAUCCUCUAAAUGUUAUUUGCAAGCUUACUGGUAG